GCCUCCGUAGCAUAGUAGCCAUUGCGGCAGGUUUGUAACCUGCAGGUCAUGGGUGCAAUUCCCAUCGGAGGCU
rnacentral:tRNA from 1 species